GACGAACCGUCGCGAACGUUUGUUCGGAAUCACUGGGCUUAAAGGGCGCGUAGGCGGGCUCGUCAAGUCUGACGGUGAAAGCCCCCGGUUAAACCGGGGAGGGCCUGGAUACUGCGGGCCUCGAGGAGGGUAGGGGCGUCUGGAACAGUAGGUGGAGCGGUGAAAUGCGUUGAUAUCUACUGGAACUCCGGUGGCGAAGGCGAGGCGCUGGACCCUUUCUGACGCUGAGGCGGCGAAAAGCGUGGGGA
rnacentral:rRNA from 1 species